rnacentral:piRNA from 1 species
UCGGAACCUGCAGAUACUUGUGGAGGAGUC